GAUGAACGCUGGCGGCAUGCCUAACACAUGCAAGUCGAACGGGAAGUGGUGUUUCCAGUGGCGAACGGGGGAGUAACGCGUAAGAACCUGCCCUAGGGAGGGGAACAACAACUGGAAACGGUUGCUAAAACCCCGUAGGCCGAGGAGCAAAAGGAGUAAUCCGCCCAAGGAGGGGCGCGCGUCUGGUUAUCUAGGUGUGGUGGUAAGAGCAUACCCAGGCGAUGAUCUGCAGCGCGUGCGAGAGGAGGAUCUGCCACACUGGGACUGAGACACAGCCCAGACUCCUCCGGGGGGAGCCGGUGGGGAGAUUUCCGCACUGUGCGCGAGCCUGUCGGCGCGCUGCCGCGUGGGGGUGGAGGACCUACGAGUCGUCAACUUCUUUUCUCCCCGAAGAGACAAUGACGGUACCGGGAGAAUAAGCUCCGGCUAACUCUGUG
rnacentral:rRNA from 1 species